CCCGGAGGGGGGCGUCCCUCAGCCUGGAUUGCGAGAGGGUGCAGGCCAGGCCGAGGGACCCCACCAGUGCACA
rfam:Myotis davidii contig74639, whole genome shotgun sequence.